UAUGACUUUAAGUAAAGUCAACCAUGCACGUGAUCUAAUAGUAUCAAGCGAUUCUAGAACAUGGAUGGAAGCUGAUAAAGCCUGUACAGACAAUGACCAAAGACUCCUAUCUUUUAUAAACAAUGGAAAUGUUGGAGAUUUAAACACGUUAUUUACUAUGAUGAAUAGUGAAGGCUUAUUAAUGAAUUCCUCUGUAUGGACUGGAUUACGUCUGCACGGUGGCGAAGAUAGUUUUAUGUGGGAUAACUGUAAUAUAUCUGAUGUUGAUUUACCGUGGGCGAUAGACCAGCCACGGCAGUUUCAAAAUAACACUUGUGUUGCCCUGCAUUGGUCAACACUUAAACUUCAUACAUUCAAAUGUUUGAUCAACUACCAGUUUAUUUGCGAAAUUCCUCACGCGAACUGUUGGAUUGAAGCAUUUCCGUUUCAUAUGCCAGGUCCAGGUAUCGGCCAAAUAGCCACGGGUAGUUUAACAUACUUAGAAUGUGUAGAAGAUUGUAUUAAUACUGCUCUUGGCCCUCAAUCAUGUGUACUUUUUCAAAUGGCGGGUGGCAUAUGUUCCAUCUCGGUAUCAUCUAAUUCAUACAUCAACUCCAAACCACCUCUUAUAGGAGUUGCA